GAUGGCGCGUACGGAGACCGUCGAUUCCUGUUCGUCGAGCAAAUCGGCUUCUCCGAAAUAUUCACCAUCUCCCAACAAGGCUAUCCGCAGGUCUUCGCCAUGAGGUCCCUUGCUGAUGACCUCGGCCUGACCGCUGGCUACGAUGAAGAAACGCUGCUUGUCUUUUCCCUCUUCGACGAACAGUUUGUCAACAUCUACCUCCUUUGCCUCGAAUGAGCUUACCAGACGGUGUAAUAUCUCGUCGUCGAACUCUGAAAAUAGCGGUAUAGCCUUCAGGUCCUUGGCCGUAAACGAUGGUACACCGUUUACAUACUGAAUAGGUAGCCGAUCGUUCUUGCGGAGUUCAACUUUUGUGCGGUUCACACGGAACGUACCACCGCUAACCUGUACCCAAGGGAGUAGUUUCAACAGAAGUCUUGGGGUGAUAGAGCCCAUCUGAGGGGCGGUCUUGGUGGUUGUUGCCAGUCUUCUGGCGGUAGCAGUAGUCACAC
rnacentral:antisense_RNA from 1 species